AACGAACGCUGGCGGCAUGCCUAACACAUGCAAGUCGAACGGGAACUUCGGGCUUAGUGGCGCAGGGGUGCGUAACGACUGGGAACCUGCCCUUAGGUUCGGAAUCACUGCCCGUAAGGUGUGCUAAUACAGGUUGAUGUAAUCGGAGAAAAGAUGUAUCGCCUUUGGAUGGGCGCGCGUUGGAUUAGCUGGUUGGUAGGGUAAAAGCCUGCCAAGGCGACGAUCCAUGGCUGGUGUGAGAGCAGGAUCAGCCACACUGGGACUGAGACACGGCCCAGACCGCGAGGGGAGGGAGGGGUAGGGAAUAUUGUGCGAUGGGCGAUAGCCUAAUCAAGCAAUGCGGCGUGAGUCAGGAAGGGCGUAGUGUUGUAAAGCUCUCUUUCCCGAGGUGAUAAUGACAGUACCGGGAGAAUAAGCUCCGGCUAACUCCGUG
rnacentral:rRNA from 1 species